AACGCUGGCGGCGCGCUUAACACAUGCAAGUCGAGCGAGAACCAGGACUUCGGUCUUGGAGACAGCGGCGAACGGGUGAGUAACACGUGGGUAAUCUGCCCUCGGUUCUGGGAUAGCCCGGGGAAACUCGGAUUAAUACCGGAUAGCCUCUCUGGCCCUCGGGCCGGUGAGAAAAGGUAGCUUCGGCCUCCGACUGAGGAUGAGCCCGCGGCGGAUUAGCUUGUUGGCGGGGCAACGGCCCACCAAGGCGACGAUCCGUAGCUGGUCUGAGAGGACGAUCAGCCACACUGGGACUGAGACACGGCCCAGACUCCUACGGGAGGCAGCAGUGGGGAAUCUUGCGCAAUGGGCGAAAGCCUGACGCAGCGACGCCGCGUGAGGGAAGAAGGCCUUCGGGUUGUAAACCUCUUUCAGGUGGGACGAAGCCACUCGGGUGAAUAGCCCAGAGGGUGACGGUACCUCCAGAAGAAGCCCCGGCUAACUACGUGCCAGCCGCCGCGGUAAGAC
rnacentral:rRNA from 1 species